rnacentral:rRNA from 1 species
GAUGAACGCUAGCUGCAGGCUUAACACAUGCAAGUCGAGGGGCAGCGGUAUCGAAAGCUUGCUUUCGGUAGCCGGCGACCGGCGCACGGGUGAGUAACGCGUAUCGAACCUGCCUCAUACUCGGGAAUAGCCUUGCGAAAGUAAGAUUAAUGCCCGGUGUUUUCAGAGUCCCGCAUGAGGCUUUGAACAAAGAUUUAUCGGUAUGAGAUGGCGAUGCGUCCCAUUAGCUUGUUGGCGGGGUAACGGCCCACCAAGGCAUCGAUGGGUAGGGGUUCUGAGAGGAAGGUCCCCCACAUUGGAACUGAGACACGGUCCAAACUCCUACGGGAGGCAGCAGUGAGGAAUAUUGGUCAAUGGGCGGAAGCCUGAACCAGCCAAGUAGCGUGCAGGAAGACGGCCCUCCGGGUUGUAAACUGCUUUUAGUUGGGAAUAAAACGGGGCUCGUGAGCCCCCUUGCAUGUACCAUCAGAAAAAGGACCGGCUAAUUCCGUG